rnacentral:rRNA from 1 species
AGAGUUUGAUCCUGGCUCAGGACGAACGCUGGCGGCGCGCCUAACACAUGCAAGUCGAACGAGCGAGAGAGAGCUUGCUUUCUCGAGCGAGUGGCGAACGGGUGAGUAACGCGUGAGGAACCUGCCUCAAAGAGGGGGACAACAGUUGGAAACGACUGCUAAUACCGCAUAAGCCCACGGGUCGGCAUCGACCAGAGGGAAAAGGAGCAAUCCGCUUUGAGAUGGCCUCGCGUCCGAUUAGCUAGUUGGUGAGGUAAUGGCCCACCAAGGCGACGAUCGGUAGCCGGACUGAGAGGUUGAACGGCCACAUUGGGACUGAGACACGGCCCAGACUCCUACGGGAGGCAGCAGUGGGGAAUAUUGCACAAUGGGGGAAACCCUGAUGCAGCGACGCCGCGUGGAGGAAGAAGGUCUUCGGAUUGUAAACUCCUGUUGUUGGGGAAGAUAAUGACGGUACCCAACAAGGAAGUGACGGCUAACUACGUGCCAGCAGCCGCGGUAAAACGUAGGUCACAAGCGUUGUCCGGAAUUACUGGGGUAAAGGGAGGCAGCGGAAGACAAGUAAAGUGAAAUCUAUGGUCAACCCAUAACUGCUUCCAAAACCUGUUUUUCUUGAGUAGUGCAGAGGUAGCGAAAUUCCCGGUGUAGCGGUGGAAAUGCGUAGAUAUCGGGAGGAAACACCAGUGGCGAAGGCGCUACUGGCACCAACUGACGCUGAGCUCGAAAGUGUGGAUAGCAAACAGGAUUAGAUACCCUGGUAGUCCACACCGUAAACGAUGAUUACUAGGUGUUGGGGGAUUGACCCCCUCAGUGCCGCAGUUAACACAAUAAGUAAUCCACCUGGGGAGUACGACCGCAAGGUUGAAACUCAAAGGAAUUGACGGGGGCCCGCACAAGCAGUGGAGUAUGUGGUUUAAUUCGACGCAACGCGAAGAACCUUACCAAGUCUUGACAUCCCUUGACGAUACUGGAAACAGUAUUUCUCUUCGGAGCAAGGAGACAGGUGGUGCAUGGUUGUCGUCAGCUCGUGUCGUGAGAUGUUGGGUUAAGUCCCGCAACGAGCGCAACCCUUAUGGUCAGUUACUACGCAAGAGGACUCUGGCCAGACUGCCGUUGACAAAACGGAGGAAGGUGGGGAUGACGUCAAAUCAUCAUGCCCUUUAUGACUUGGGCUACACACGUACUACAAUGGCGUUAAACAAAGAGAAGCAAGACCGCGAGGUGGAGCAAAACUCAGAAACAACGUCCCAGUUCGGACUGCAGGCUGCAACUCGCCUGCACGAAGUCGGAAUUGCUAGUAAUCGUGGAUCAGCAUGCCACGGUGAAUACGUUCCCGGGCCUUGCACACACCGCCCGUC